CUACGGAGGGUGCAAGCGUUGUUCGGAAUUACUGGGCGUAAAGGGUGUGUAGGCGGCUGGGUAAGUCCGAUGUGAAAUCCCUCGGCUCAACCGAGGACGUGCAUCGGAUACUGCUCAGCUUGAGUCUCGGAGAGGGGGGUGGAAUUCCCGGUGUAGAGGUGAAAUUCGUAGAUAUCGGGAGGAACACCAGUGGCGAAGGCGACCCCCUGGACGAAGACUGACGCUGAGACACGAAAGCGUGGGUAGCAAACAGGAUUAGAAACCCCGGUAGUCC
rnacentral:rRNA from 1 species